GACGAACGCUGGCGGCGUGCUUAACACAUGCCAGUCGAACGAUGAAGCAGAGAAACGCGCACUUCGGUUCAAAUUUCACUUCGGAUUAGUGGCAGACGGGUGAGUAACGCGUGAGCAACCUACCUCUUACAAAGGGAUAGCCUCGGGAAACCGUGAUUAAUACCAUAUGACACAUUCAUAAGGCAUCUUAAGAAUGUUAAAGCUACGGCGGUAAGAGAUGGGCUCGCGUCCCAUUAGCUAGUUGGUGAGGUAACGGCCCACCAAGGCGACGAUGGGUAACCGGCCUGAGAGGGUGAACGGUCACAUUGGAACUGAGACACGGUCCAAACUCCUACGGGAGGCAGCAGUGGGGAAUAUUGCACAAUGGAGGGAACUCUGAUGCAGCGACGCCGCGUGAGCGAUGAAGGAAUUCGUUUCGUAAAGCUCUGUUCUAUGGGAAGAAAAGGACUGUACCAUAGGAGAAAGCCCCGGCUAAAUACGUG
rnacentral:rRNA from 1 species